rnacentral:rRNA from 1 species
CCCUUAGAUGUUCGGGGCCGCACGCGCGCUACACUGAAGGAAUCAGCACGUCUUUCUCCUUGUCCGAAAGGACUGGGUAACCCGCUGAACCUCCUUCGUGCUAGGGAUUGGGGCUUGUAAUUCUUCCCCAUGAACGAGGAAUUCCCAGUAAGCGCGAGUCAUAAACUCGCGUUGAUUACGUCCCUGCCCUUUGUACACACCGCCCGUCGCUACUACCGAUUGGAUGGUUUAGUGAGAUCCUCGGAUUGGUCCCGGAGCGGCCUCUGGUCGUGCCGGAGUGCCGAAAAGAAUGUCGAACUUGAUCAUCUAGAGGAAGUAAAAGUCGUAACA